AUUCAUCAAGUAUAAUUUAGGUUUUCUUCAUUAGUUUCUGCUCAGGUUUUGGUGAUGUAAAAUGAAUGAAUCACAGUCCUGGUCCUCAAAGAUAGCCAUACUGAAGGAGAUGGACAUGAACAUAAAGAACCUCCAUGCUGAAUGAGAAGCCCAUCACAGCCCAUGAUGACCUGUAUAAUGUGCUUCUGGGAGAAAAGAAGUCUCAAAACCUAAGGGA
rnacentral:lncRNA from 10 species